GGAUCCAGACUUUGAUUCUGGCUCAGGACGAACGCUGGCGGCGCGCCUAACACAUGCAAGUCGAGCGGGAAGCUUUUUAAGGAUUCUUCGGAUGAAUUAAAAAGUGGAGAGCGGCGGACGGGUGAGUAACGCGUGAGAAACCUGCCCUAUACAGGGGGAUAGCCAUUGGAAACGAUGAUUAAUACCCCAUAUGACCACAGUAUCGCAUGAUACAGCGGUGAAAACUCCGGUGGUAUAGGAUGGUCUCGCGUCUGAUUAGCUAGUUGGUGGGGUAACGGCCUACCAAGGCGACGAUCAGUAGCCGGCCUGAGAGGGUGACCGGCCACACUGGAACUGAGACACGGUCCAGACUCCUACGGGAGGCAGCAGUGGGGAAUAUUGCACAAUGGGCGAAAGCCUGAUGCAGCGACGCCGCGUGAACGAUGAAGGCUUUCGAGUCGUAAAGUUCUGUUCUUGGGGAAGACAACGACGGUACCCAAGGAGAAAGCACCGGCUAAAUACGUGCCAGCAGCCGCGG
rnacentral:rRNA from 1 species